GGAUCAUUCAUAAUUAUAGAAAAUCAUAUCCGAGAAGAAUGAAAAAGAAAUUAUAUUCACGCAUAAACUCAUCUAUAUAGCAUACAAUCUAAUGCCCAUUUUUACCGCAUCAUUUAAUAGUGAACUCUAAAUUCAAAGUUUAAAGCAAUAAAUAAGCACAGUGCUUCUUCCACAAAAGAGAGAAUCAAGAUUGGUCUCUCUUGGAAUAAAAAAAAUUACAUAGUUACUCAUAUUUGGCGCCAUUAUCUAGAACCCAAUUGUUAACAUAAUCUCAUGAUAUGAUGGCUCUACCUCCACAAGAAAACUCUCAAAAAUCGAAUAACCAUUACAAGAGAAAUGAAAUGAAAAGAUAUUUCGACCAAGAAAAGGAACAAAGAGCACCAAUAUAUACUUAAUAGUAAUUAAAUUACAUGGUUGCUAAUCUGGGUAUAGG
rnacentral:misc_RNA from 1 species